UACGUAGGGACCGAGCGUUGUCCGGAUUCAUUGGGCGUAAAGAGCUCGUAGGCGGCUGUUCAAGUCGAACGUGAAAACUCGGAGCUCAACUCCGAGCCUGCGUUCGAUACUGGACGGCUAGAGUCUGGUAGGGGGAUCUGGAAUUCCUGGUGUAGCGGUGGAAUGCGCAGAUAUCAGGAGGAACACCGAUGGCGAAGGCAGAUCUCUGGGCCGUAACUGACGCUGAGGAGCGAAAGCAUGGGGAGCGAACAGG
rnacentral:rRNA from 1 species